AACGAACGCUGGCGGCGUGUUUAAGACAUGCAAGUCGCACGGUGUCAUUUUGGUAGCAAUACUUGGAUGGCACAGUGGCGCACGGGUGAGUAACACGUGAAUUACAUGCCCUGUAGAGGGGGAUAGCCCAGGGAAACUUGGAUUAAUACCCCAUGGUCUCGCAAGAGUAAAGGUGGCCGCAAGGCUGUCGCUACAGGAUUGGUUCGCGCCCUAUCAGCUUGUUGGCGGGGUAACGGCCCACCAAGGCUACGACGGGUACCUGGUCUGAGAGGACGAUCAGGCACACUGGAACUGAGACACGGUCCAGACACCUACGGGUGGCAGCAGUCGAGAAUAAUUCACAAUGGGGGCAACCCUGAUGGUGCAACGCCGCGUGGAGGAUGACGGUCUUCGGAUUGUAAACUCCUGUCAUCCGGGAGUAAGACCUGGGCAUGAAUAGUGCACAGGGUUGAUAGUACCGGAAGAGGAAGGAACGGCUAACUUCGUGCCAGCCGCCGCCGUAA
rnacentral:rRNA from 1 species